CUUGCAUCAAGAACCGUUAUCAAUAUAUAGACUCUUGCUUUAUCAAUUCUCAAUACUCAUUUCACUGAAAGUUUUCAUCUCUCGCCCCCCCCCCCCCCCCCCCACUUCAAACUCCGAAAUUAACUUUCAACGCUAUCAGAAUGGAUAUGAUGGUUAUGCCUUGGCUAAAAAAUCUGCUUGCAAUCACUGCAUUUUUCACAACAUGUGAAGUUUACUCAAACGAGUCAAAAAAUGAGCGCAACAUGUUUUUUCUCUAUUGCAAUGACAAUCCAUUUUAUAGAUCUUGCAUAAAAUCUCAUCACAAAGAUCAAUCCAAUUGUAUUCAUAAACAAGUGGUCUUAUUCCCAAUCUACGAUGAACAAGAUUGGUAAGAUACGUCAAAGAAAUAUUGUGGAUACUUAUUACUUUUGCUCUCUCACAUGCCAGUUUGAAUGCAUAAAGAAGGAUGCGGACUUUUUCCUAAAUGCAAAGGAGACAGAAGAAAUGGAAAGAUUACUGGAAGAAUCGAUCAAGGCACCAAAAACAAAAAGCCAAAAAAAUCUCAUGAACAAAAUCUAAAACGGAGAGUAGAUGAAGCUGGAAUCAACAAUGAAGAAAAUGAAGUGGAUGAAGA